rnacentral:lncRNA from 1 species
UUGAUACUAAUCUUCUCAGCGCUUCUUCACAGUGACUUUGCAACCCUGACCUUGUGCCUCUACACCUCUUCUCCAGGGCCUUACCUCAAAUCUCUUAUCUCCCUGGCCCUCUCUGAGAUGGCCACUGUCUUGGAGUCCACUUCCACUGUGGUUGACAAGAGCCCCAUGAGCAGCUACUGUAAUUUCCCCAAGUGGCCUUACAGCCUCUGCUCUUAGCUUCUCCCUGCCCAGUCUCUGAAAUGUAGGCAAGUGGCUAUUUCUCAACAACCUAUGGCACUUCUCGUGUGAGCCUACAUGGCUGCUGACUUCAAAGUUAACUCAUUACAGGGCAGUCCCAGCCCUAGGACUAAAGUCUGAGCCCUGAUCCCUUCCCUGUACUGCCUCUGCCUCAAGAGAGGGGAUGUUCCUCAUCUCCCAAGAGGCCAUGGACCCUGCUUCUUUCUGGUACUUCUGGCACCGCAUCCUGAGACUAGGAUGUCAAUGCCUUGUCCUUUGCUUCUGUUUUUCUAGCAAGUCUCAUAGUGCUGAGAUGUGCAGAAAGAUUGGGUGCGUGAAUGAAUGAAUGAGUGAAUCAAUGAUGCCUUGUGUGCUAGCAAUCAAUAUUCUGCUCUGUAGCUCAAAACCUGCCUCCAGUGUACUAAUAGUUACGGUUACAGCUUGGUGUCAGAGUGGAGGCUUAGAUAAUCGUUUUUAAAUUAUGUUAUUUGGCAAGUUCAACAGAUGGGCAGGACAAAGAUAUGGGAAAGGAAUGGACUGGUUAUUGGCUGUCUACUUAACCACUUCUCAGAAGGGGUCUUUAGGAAAUGCUAUGGCAUCUAAUCAUGGAAAACUCCUGGGAGCUGUUUCUUUGUUGUUGUUGCUGUUGUUGUUGUCUUUUGUUUGUUUUUGUUUUUGUUUUCUCAUUUCUUGCUGUACUAGUGAACUGAACUCGGUGCCUUGUUUGCUACCAAGUACUCUAGGAAUUGAAGUUUAUCCAACUAUGAUAUCUAUCACCGCUUUGAUUAUCAGGAUUCAUGUGGGUCAUCUGCCAGGCUAAGAAGGUGUCCCCUUCCUCACUUACUGUUCAUGCAUGCCUCUUUCGAGCUGCACUUGAUUAAAGAGGAUGACCUUUCCUAGUAAAGGGGACCACUCUUUGGUCACAAGCACAUGAAGAUCUGAGUUCUCUUGCCAGAACCUCUAAAGAAGAUCUCAAGGUAAAUGCUUGACUACUGAGUUAAAGCUAUAAACCUCUAGAAUAGGUUGCAAACAGUGUUUCCUGCAUUUUGUGACCUGGGAUCAAGGAAUA